AACGAUACCCAUCCCUAGUUAUGAAGGUAAUCUGUUUCUGUUUGCAGAGGUCAGAGGUCACAGUCUCCAGCAUCCAGCUGUGUGUCUGUGAGGAGUGACUGGUCCAGAGACAGACCUCCAGGCUUCAGUAAUGAACCUGCUCCAACAAUGUCCUUCAAUCAUGGAGCUCAGCUGACCAUAGGUCAGAGGUCACAGUCUCCAGUACCCAGCUGUGUGUCUAUGAGGAGUGACUGGUCCAGAGACAGACCUCCAGGCUUCAGUAAUGAACCUGCAGCAACAAUGGUCUUCAGUCAUGGACCCCAGCUGACCAUGUAAGAGAUCUGCUGACUCAUUUAUGGGUGUUUGACAUUUUGUGACCACUUUAUUAUGAUUUUUAAAAAAAUAUAUAUUUCCGCAUAAAUGUGAUGUAAAACAUAAAGGACACAAAGAUGAUCCAGUUACACAAACGAGAGAAGAAUAUUGGAAUUGGUUAUUAGUUUUCUUAGAAAACUUAGGGACUCUUAGGCUCUCUUCUCCUGGCCGCCGUCCAGUACGCAUUGCAUGCGACACCUACAGCGCCUCCUGCGGGUGGUGGGCCUGCAGGAGGGUGGGCCAAUGUUGGGAGCCAGUGAACUAAGCGCUGGCCACCAGACGCCUGCACUCGGGCAUCUUCCUGGGCUUGACUUCAAGGGGACCCUGGUAACCGAAUCUGGGCCGGGUGAACUCUUCCCUUGAUUGUACACUCGUAGGGGUCUUCUGAAUUGCUCUUUGUCUGGGCCCUCACCCAGCACCAAUUUGCCAUGGGAGAUCC